rnacentral:rRNA from 1 species
UAUCCGCCGUGCGCGUAGGAUACUUGAGAAGGGCUGUCCCUAGUACGAGAGGACCGGGACGGACGAACCUCUGGUGUGCCAGUUGUCCCGCCAGGGGCACGGCUGGUUGGCUACGUUCGGAAGGGAUAACCGCUGAAAGCAUCUAAGCGGGAAGCCUGCUUCAAGAUGAGGUAUCCCACCCCACUUUGUGGGGGUAAGGCCCCCAGCUAGACGACUGGGUUGAUAGGCCGGAGAUGUAAGCUCGGUAACGGGUUGAGUUGACCGGUACUAAUAGGCCGAGGACUUGACUAC